rnacentral:rRNA from 1 species
GAUGAACGCUGGCGGCGUGCCUAAUACAUGCAAGUCGAGCGAACAGACGAGGAGCUUGCUCCUCUGACGUUAGCGGCGGACGGGUGAGUAACACGUGGAUAACCUACCUAUAAGACUGGGAUAACUUCGGGAAACCGGAGCUAAUACCGGAUAAUAUAUUGAACCGCAUGGUUCAAUAGUGAAAGACGGUUUUGCUGUCACUUAUAGAUGGAUCCGCGCCGCAUUAGCUAGUUGGUAAGGUAACGGCUUACCAAGGCGACGAUGCGUAGCCGACCUGGGGGGGGGAUAGGCCACACUGGAACGGAGACACGGUCCAGACGCCUACGGGAGGCAGCAGUAGGGAAUCUUCCGCAAUGGGCGAGAGCCUGACGGAGCAACGCCGCGUGAGUGAUGAAGGUCUUCGGAUCGUAAAACUCUGUUAUUAGGGAAGAACAAAUGUGUAAGUAACUAUGCACGUCUUGACGGUACCUAAUCAGAAAGCCACGGCUAACUACGUG